rnacentral:rRNA from 1 species
AGAGUUUGAUCCUGGCUCAGAAUCAACGCUGGCGGCGUGCCUCAGACAUGUAAGUCGAACGAUUAAAGCUCUCUUCGGAGAGUGUAUAGAGUGGCGCACGGGUGAGUAACACGUAAGUAAUCUACCUUUGAGUGGGGAAUAACGUCCGGAAACGGACGCUAAUACCGCAUAAUGCAGCGGCAUCGCAAGAUGACAGUUGUUAAAGAUUUAUCGCUUGAAGAGGAGCUUGCGGCAGAUUAGCUAGUUGGUAAGGUAACGGCUUACCAAGGCUACGAUCUGUAUCCGGUCUAAGAGGACGGUCGGACACACUGACACUGAAUAACGGGUCAGACUCCUACGGGAGGCAGCAGUCGGGAAUUUUGGGCAAUGGGCGAAAGCCUGACCCAGCAACGCCGCGUGAAGGAUGAAGUAUUUCGGUAUGUAAACUUCGAAAGAAUAGGAAGAAUAAAUGACGGUACUAUUUAUAAGCUCCGGCUAACUACGUGCCAGCCGCCGCGGUAAUAC